rnacentral:rRNA from 1 species
UGGGGAAUAUUGGGCAAUGGGCGAAAGCCUGACCCAGCCACGCCGCGUGAGUGAUGAAGGCCUUCGGGUCGUAAAGCUCUGUGGGGAGGGACGAAUAAGUGCCGUACUAACACUACGGCGCCCUGACGGUACCUCCUUAGCAAGCACCGGCUAACCAUGUGCCAGCAGCCGCGGUAAUACAUGGGGUGCAAACGUUGCUCGGAAUUAUUGGGCGUAAAGCGCGCGUAGGCGGUUACUCAAGUCGGAUGUGAAAGCCCUCGGCUUAACUGAGGAAGUGCACCCGAAACUGAGUAGCUAGAGUACUAAAGAGGGUCGCGGAAUUCCCGGUGUAGAGGUGAAAUUCGUAGAUAUCGGGAGGAACACCGGUGGCGAAGGCGGCGACCUGGGUAGAUACUGACGCUGAGGCGCGAAAGCGUGGGGAGCAAACAGGAUUAGAUACCCCCGUAGUCC